rnacentral:snoRNA from 13 species
GCUGCCCCUCGAGGCGUUGCAGGUGCGGCUGCUGUGCCGCACCUGUGUCAGCAGGUGGCAGAGAGCAGUGCGGCUACGUCUACGCUCCGCGCCCUGGCACGUGGGCUUCGGAAUGAUUAGUAGGCGGACAGC